UACGUAGGGGGCAAGCGUUGUCCGGAUUUAUUGGGCGUCAAGAGCGUGUAGGCGGCCAGGUAGGUCAGCUGUGAAAACUCGAGGCUCAACCUCGAGACGUCGGUUGAAACCACCUGGCUAGAGUCCGGAAGAGGAGAGUGGAAUUCCUGGUGUAGCGGUGAAAUGCGCAGAUAUCAGGAAGAACACCCGUGGCGAAGGCGGCUCUCUGGGACGGUACUGACGCUGAGACGCGAAAGCGUGGGGAGCGAACAGG
rnacentral:rRNA from 1 species